UUUCGUGUGUGAUGAGAAACAUACAAAAAUUACAGUUAUCCCUGGCUGAUCCAGUGCUGAGAAUUGUUGAUUCUGACACAAAC
rnacentral:snoRNA from 1 species